AAUCAACGCUGGCGGCGUGCCUAACACAUGCAAGUCGAGCGAGAAAGGGGCUUCGGCCCUGAGUAAAGCGGCGCACGGGUGAGUAACACGUGGGUAAUCUGCCCUAGAGUGGGGAAUAACACCGGGAAACCGGUGCUAAUACCGCAUACGAUCACGAUGUUUUCGAAUGUUGUGAUGAAAGGAGCAAUUCGCUCUUGGAGGAGCCCGCGGCUGAUUAGCUAGUUGGGAGGUAAUGGCUCACCAAGGCUACGAUCAGUAUCCGGUCUGAGAGGACGGUCGGACACACUGGAACUGAGACACGGUCCAGACUCCUACGGAGGCAGCAGUGGGGAAUUUUUCGCAAUGGGGGCAACCCUGACGAAGCAACGCCGCGUGGAUGAUGAAGUAUCUCGGUACGUAAAAUCCUUUCGACGGGAAGAAAGCCGCAAGGUCUGACGGUACCCGUAGAAGAAGCCCCGGCUAACUCCGUGCCAGCCGCCGCAGU
rnacentral:rRNA from 1 species